rnacentral:rRNA from 1 species
UACGUAGGGAGCAAGCGUUGUCCGGAAUCAUUGGGCGUAAAGCGCGCGUAGGUGGCCUCGUAAGUCCGCUGUGAAAGUCAAAGGCUCAACCUUUGAAAGCCGGUGGAUACUGUGAGGCUAGAGUACGGAAGAGGCGAGUGGAAUUCCUGGUGUAGCGGUGGAAUGCGCAGAUAUCAGGAGGAACACCAGUGGCGAAGGCGGCUUUCUGGUCUGCUCUUGACGCUGAGGCGCGAAAGCGUGGGGAGCAAACAGG